rnacentral:rRNA from 1 species
UACGUAGGGUGCAAGCGUUAAUCGGAAUUACUGGGCGUAAAGCGUGCGCAGGCGGUUUUGUAAGUCUGUUGUGAAAUCCCCGGGCUUAACCUGGGAAUGGCAAUGGAGACUGCAAGGCUAGAGUUUGGCAGAGGGGGGUAGAAUUCCACGUGUAGCAGUGAAAUGCGUAGAGAUGUGGAGGAACACCGAUGGCGAAGGCAGCCCCCUGGGUCAAGACUGACGCUCAUGCACGAAAGCGUGGGGAGCAAACGGG